GGCGCCGUGCCCAGCGGCUCAGGAGGCGUCGCCCUUACGCCGCGGCGCCCCUCGGCCCGCCCGGCCCGCUCCCUUCCAGCUCGGAGCUGCGGGGACUCGGCGCCCAGGUCUCUGGUCCGGAUUGACGGCCUGUGUCUUCUUUCAAACCCUCUUCUACUUGGUGUACAUCUGGAGGAUAAACUGGAACAGAGCGGCAGAGCAGGUGUGGACGUGGAUUUUUUUCCACCACACGUACAGGAAGAGAAGAGCAGACAGGGAGAACUGGGAAGUGGUGUUCGCCCAGGCAGAUCCUCUGAAGGAGAAAAAGCUAUCGUCACCCGUCAUCCUAGGCAGAAAAGCUGGAAGGAACACAGCCAAAUGAACUGAAAGUUGGGCAAAAUUCGGAAGCCUCUUGCAAGAGCCAGGACUGCAGCUGUACCUCACAAGGAAGCACGACCAACAGUCUCCAAAAAGGACAGCCUGCAUCUCCAGAAAGGACAGUCUCCCCCUGCAUCCGGCAUCCCUGACAUCCCUGGGGAGCCUGCUAGAACUGAGGGUUAACAAUCCCGACUCUAAAAACAAGCGUGAGGCGACCACGUUGCCCUCUUCUACGCGUCAGGGAAAGACACUCUGCGUGUGCAAAACGCCAAACGGAGAAACUCCGUGAAGGGCAGGCGGGGCCACAUCUCCCGGAGGGCAGGGUCCCCGUGCGUCUGCAUCGGGGAGUCCCCACCAGCCCAGGGUCCCGCAGGCCAGAGUCACAGCUUCCACCUUCCACAGGGUUCAAGUCCAGGUGACUGACCGAAAAUGUCAACACAGGCAAGAUAACCAAGCAGCCACUGACCGUGACCCUGGGCUUGUGACGCUAGAGAUCCGGCUGACCUGGAGACCUCGGGGUCUUGCUUCAGGAACAGGA